GAAGGCAGCUGUCAGCCCAGCAGGAAGAAGACCAUUGAGAGGCGUCCCGCUGUCCCUGUGGCUGGAGCCUGCCCGCUGAGCCCUGAGGGCGCUGGGCCGGCGACCUCAGCGCCUGGAUGGAGGGAUGGAGAAAGCAGCGGGAGGGCUGGGCAGUGAGGACCCCUAAGG
rfam:Myotis brandtii contig317454, whole genome shotgun sequence.